CUACGGGUGGCUCCAGUGGGGAAUAUUGCACAAUGGGCGCAAGCCUGAUGCAGCCAUGCCGCGUGUAUGAAGAAGGCCUUCGGGUUGUAAAGUACUUUCAGCGGGGAGGAAGGGAGUAAAGUUAAUACCUUUGCUCAUUGACGUUACCCGCAGAAGAAGCACCGGCUAACUCCGUGCCAGCAGCCGCGGUAAUACGGAGGGUGCAAGCGGUAAUCGGAAUUACUGGGCGUAAAGCGCACGCAGGCGGUUUGUUAAGUCAGAUGUGAAAUCCCCGGGCUCAACCUGGGAACUGCAUCUGAUACUGGCAGGCUUGAGUCUCGUAGAGGGGGGUAGAAUUCCAGGUGUAGCGGUGAUAUGCGUAGAGAUCUGGAGGAAUACCGGUGGCGAAGGCGGCCCCCUGGACGAAGACUGACGCUCAGGUGCGAAAGCGUGGGGAGCAAACAGGAUUAGAUACCCGCGUAGUC
rnacentral:rRNA from 1 species